UACGGAGGGUGCAAGCGUGAUCCGGAUUCACUGGGUUUAAAGGGUGCGUAGGUGGGCAGGUAAGUCAGUGGUGAAAUCUCCGGGCUUAACUCGGAAACUGCCAUUGAUACUAUCUUUCUUGAAUACCGUGGAGGUCAGCGGAAUAUGUCAUGUAGCGGUGAAAUGCUUAGAUAUGACAUAGAACACCAAUUGCGAAGGCAGCUUACUACACAGUUAUUGACACUGAGGCACGAAAGCGUGGGGAUCAAACAGG
rnacentral:rRNA from 1 species